GACGAGCGCUGGCGGCGUGCUUAACACAUGCAAGUCGAACGGUAAGGCCCUUUCGGGGGUACACGAGUGGCGAACGGGUGAGUAACACGUGGGUGAUCUGCCCUGCACUUUGGGAUAAGCCUGGGAAACUGGGUCUAAUACCGGAUAGGACUACGCGAUGCAUGUCGUGUGGUGGAAAGCUUUUGCGGUGUGGGAUGGGCCCGCGGCCUAUCAGCUUGUUGGUGGGGUGAUGGCCUACCAAGGCGACGACGGGUAGCCGGCCUGAGAGGGUGUCCGGCCACACUGGGACUGAGAUACGGCCCAGACUCCUACGGGAGGCAGCAGUGGGGAAUAUUGCACAAUGGGCGCAAGCCUGAUGCAGCGACGCCGCGUGGGGGAUGACGGCCUUCGGGUUGUAAACCCCUUUCAGCACAGACGAAGCGUAAGUGACGGUAUGUGCAGAAGAAGCGCCGGCCAACUACGUG
rnacentral:rRNA from 1 species